rnacentral:rRNA from 1 species
UACAGAGGUCCCAAGCGUUGUUCGGAUUCACUGGGCGUAAAGGGUGCGUAGGUGGCCAGGUAAGUUCGGUGUGAAAGCUCGGAGCUUAACUCCGAAAUGUCAUUGAAUACUAUCUGGCUAGAGGGUCGGAGGGGAGACUGGAAUUCUCGGUGUAGCAGUGAAAUGCGUAGAUAUCGAGAGGAACACCAGUGGCGAAGGCGAGUCUCUGGACGACUCCUGACACUGAGGCACGAAAGCUAGGGGAGCAAACAGG